rnacentral:rRNA from 1 species
CACCGCCCGUCACACCAUGGAAGUUGACUCCGGCAGAAGACGUUGAGCUAACCGCAAGGAGGCAGGCGUCCAAGCCAGGGUUGAUGACUGGGGUG